rnacentral:rRNA from 1 species
UACGUAGGGUGCAAGCGUUGUCCGGAAUUAUUGGGCGUAAAGCGCGUGUAGGCGGCUUUGCAAGUCGGGUGUGAAAGCCCUCGGCUCAACCGAGGAAGUGCGCCCGAAACUGCAGAGCUUGAGUACCGGAGAGGAUGGCGGAAUUCCCCAAGUAGAGGUGAAAUUCGUAGAUAUGGGGAGGAACACCGGUGGCGAAGGCGGCCAUCUGGACGGAUACUGACGCUGAGACGCGAAAGCGUGGGUAGCAAACAGG